UACAGAGGUCUCAACCGUUGUUCGGAUUCAUUGGGCGUAAAGGGUGCGUAGGCGGCGGGGUAAGUCAGGUGUGAAAUCUCGGGGCUCAACCCCGAAACUGCACUUGAUACUGCCUCGCUUGGAGUACUGGAGAGGAGACGUGGGAAUUUACGGUGUAGCAGUGAAAUGCGUAGAUAUCGUAAGGAAGACCAGUGGCGAAGGCGAGUCUCUGGACAGUACUGACGCGAGCACGAAGGCCAGGGGAGCAAACGGG
rnacentral:rRNA from 1 species